UGCUUCAUCCAAACUAUUUUAAUAAUUAAAACACUGAGAUAACUGGAGAUAACGUAAAGAAUUAUUAGGUUCGAGAAUUAUCUAGACUUGGUGGUUCAGGAGUAGCACAAAGUACAAGGAAAGUGCUGUAUAAGGUUCUUGGCAAUGAAAUUGCACAAAAAUAUUCUUGGGAUGGGGCCAAACAGAAGAGAAGUUUGAAAUCAUUGUUAGUGGCCAAAAGCAAUUUUAGACUCCAUGAAAGGUCAAUUUCAAGAGUCAAAAGAAACCGAAAUUAUCAAUACAAUUAAAAUAUGGCUUGUAAAAACAAAAGAAAGAUUAAAAAAUACAAAGGUAAGUUGUGCAAAUUUAUUUGAACAGUAUAAUUCUGCUGAUAUUAUUUCA